UACAGAGGGUGCUAGCGUUGUUCGGAAUUAUUGGGCGUAAAGGGCGCGUAGGCGGCCCUGUGUGUCGGGUGUGAAAGCCCACCUCUUAAAGGUGGAAUUGCAUUCGAAACUACAGGGCUGGAGUGUCGGAGAGGAUGGCGGAAUUCCUGGUGGUAGAGGUGAAAUUCGUAGAUAUCAGGAGGAACACCGGUGGCGAAGGCGGCCAUCUGGACGAC
rnacentral:rRNA from 1 species